rnacentral:rRNA from 1 species
ACUCCUACGGGAGGCAGCAGUGGGGAAUAUUGCACAAUGGGCGCAAGCCUGAUGCAGCCAUGCCGCGUGUGUGAAGAAGGCCUUCGGGUUGUAAAGCACUUUCAGUUGUGAGGAAGGUGGUGUCGUUAAUAGCGGCAUCAUUUGACGUUAGCAACAGAAGAAGCACCGGCUAACCUCCGUGCCAGCAGCCGCGGUAAUACGGAGGGUGCGAGCGUUAAUCGGAAUUACUGGGCGUAAAGCGCAUGCAGGUGGUUUGUUAAGUCAGAUGUGAAAGCCCGGGGCUCAACCUCGGAACUGCAUUUGAAACUGGCAGACUAGAGUACUGUAGAGGGGGGUAGAAUUUCAGGUGUAGCGGUGAAAUGCGUAGAGAUCUGAAGGAAUACCGGUGGCGAAGGCGGCCCCCUGGACAGACUACUGACACU